rnacentral:rRNA from 1 species
AUUGAACGCUGGCGGCAGGCCUAACACAUGCAAGUCGAGCGAGCGGCGGACGGGUGAGUAAUGUCUGGGAAACUGCCUGUUGGAGGGGGAUAACUACUGGAAAUGGUAGCUAAUACCGCAUACCAUCAGAUGUGUCCAGAUGGGAUUAGCUAGUUGGGGGGGUAAUGGCUCACCUAGGCGACGAUCUCUAGCUGGUCUGAGAGGAUGACCAGCAACACGGGAACUAGGACCGGGUCCAGACUCCUACGGAAGGCAGCAGUGGGGAAUAUUGGACAAUGGGCGCAAGCCUGAUGCAGCCAUGCCGCGUGUAUGAAGAAGGCCUUAGGGUUGUAAAGUACUUUCAGCGGGGAGGCGUUACCCGCAGAAGAAGCACCGGCUAACGCCGUGCCAGCAGCCGCGGUAAUAC